ensembl:lncRNA
GGAUAAGUGACAUUUUCAUUGGGAAACUACCAGGCUUUGUGACCUUCACUUCACCGGGCACUGACAGCGAUUCAAACAUCACCUGCAGAGGUGAAAAUUUCACUCAUUUUACCGUGUGUUUUUGGAAAUUGAGUAAUGUAAGUGCUGACAAAAAUAGCACACACACACAGAGAUCUUUGUAGUUGAAUAUAUUUAUUUGUAUUUAAACAUUGUUCUUUUUUAUGCAUGAAACAGCAUUUCAGACAUCAUAACAAAUUUCAAACACUGACACAGGAGAAAUAUUUUGUAAAAUACAAUUUAUACAUCCAGGAGACUAUAGACUAUAUUGAAACGAUGAAAACAGCUCUAAAAAUCAUCCAUUCAAUUUUAAUUUUGGUGUCAUUAUUUUUUAAUUAUUUAAUUGGAUCAAAAGUAAAACCUGCCUAAGUUGACUAUUGUGGAGCGACGGGACUUCUGGUAAUUGUUUUUGGACGGAUCCAAAAUGUUAAACUGCUGUUAGAACCCCCUUUGUUAGAUUAGAUCAGAAUUUAGACUGUUUUCUCAUACAAAGAUUUGUUGUUUCAUAACUCAACUCUCCCUCUCUCUGUGAGAAAGGUGCCCAAACAUGUGUGUUUUAAUUGAUUGAUUCUGGCUGGGUUGCAGAGGAUCAAAUACUUAUUUUACUCAAUUAAAUGCAAACUGAUUUGUAACUUUUGCAUAAUGAGUCUUUUUUUUCUUUAUCUAUUAAAAUGAAACCGCCAUACUUAUUAAAUACAGUUCAUUUCUUUGUAAGUAGAAACACACACACCCUUGUAAAUUAGUAUGCGGUGCUGUGAAGAACUGUUUUCUGUCUUCCUGGUUUCUUUUUUUAUUCUUUUUUAUUCUUUUUUUUUGCAUAUCUGUCACACUUACAUGUUCCAGAUCAUCAAAUAAAUUACAAUACUAAACAAAUAAUAUUAAUCUGACUGAAAACAAAUAGCAUUUUUCUAGCAAUUAUAUGUCAUGAACUAACCUCCAGAUUUUUCUCUUGGUCUUCAGUUGCUGAUGCAACAAUACCCCUGAAGAUGGACACACAUUUUUACAUGUAGUUCCAUAAAUGCUGAGACAGAGAGAACUUAUUUUCAAAUUUUGGCUUUGUAAACAGUUAUUUUUUAAAUGAAACGAUUCAGAUUCAGUUGAAGGACAGAUUCUCAGCUUUGAUUCAGUGGAUUUAAAAUCAAGAAUAAAAAUGUGAGGAACUAAAGCACUUUUUAACACGAUUCAUUCACUCCAGGGGUUCAAAAGUAAUUUGACAAAUUCAAUAAUUUAAAAUAAAAUGUUCAUUUUCAAUGAAAGCCUGAAGCCUUAAAAUCAUGGACAUCACCAGAGGCUGGGUUUCCUUCUUUGUAAUACUCUGCCACGUCUUUACAGCAAUGGCUUUCAGUUGCUGUUUGUUUUCUUUUCUUUUCUAUGUUCAUCGUGAAGGAAAUGUCAAGAGAAAAUGAGUCAUGUCAUGUCAUCUUUAACAAUGAGGAAAUGAUCAUUCAUAACUCGACAGACUUUUUUCUUCCUGCCUUAUGAGCAGUGUCACAGGUUGAACAAGCCUAGUAAUUCAUUUCUAGUAAGUCAUUUCUAGUAAUCGAAACAAUGUGUGGGUUUAUUUUUAUGGGAGUAUUUCCAGAAACCUUGUGUACAGUAUAAACUUAGGCAUUAUAAUUCUUAAAACAUCCUCAUUCAGUUCACAGAAAAAGAAAAACACUUUGUUAAAGUUCUGAGACUUGUAGAUGAAAAUUUCUGCUGCAAGACAACAACAAAAGAAAAACUAAACUAAACAAAAAGAAAGAAAUACUUGAUCUAAUAAAUAAUAUGUUUUUAAUUUAUUAAAUUAAGAGCUUAAAAGAUUAAUCAGUGUAAUUAAAACCUUACACUGAUCAAAUAUGCAUGCCAAAUAUCCUUGAGCAAGAGCAUGUGAUGGAAGCAGUUACAUAGAAAAUGUAUAGCAUGCUGGUAGGGUAACUAUGGCAUAGUGGCAAGUUGCUUUGAGUGCUAUGAGGAGAAAAGUGCCAUAUAAAAACAAACCCAUUUACCCAUCACUGUAAUUUGAGAAACUCGAAACGGCAAAAUAUUUUCCAUUUUCAAAUUUAGAUCAUUUUGUUUCAAAAUGUUGAAUCAUUGUCUCAUAAAUAUAUUGGAGAGAAAGAUGCAAUUCCCCUCAAAUAUAAAAAAUGACGUAAAAGGAAAGUACUAAAUUACUAUUGAAGUAAAAGUAUUUAAAGUGUGUAUUCAGGUACAAGACUUAAGUAAAUGUGUUUAGUUAUAUUCAAC